GUGGCCGUCGGCCCGCAGAGGGAGCAAGAGAGCCCUUUAGAAUAGGAGGAAGAAGGAGAGAGCGGAAGAGAAAGAGAAAGGUUCAAGGGCAGAAUUUCAGACUCAAGUGUGCAUAAAUAUCAAGGACCCAGUCCUGGAAAUUCUGAUUUAAUGGAUAAGAGGUGGACCUCAAGAAUUUUACAAGUACCUGCAAUGUGGUCCCUGGACCACAUGUGAAAGCAUUGCCCUGAGGGAAGGUCAAAGAAGAUGGGAAUCCAGCCAUCAGUUAAUUUCAAUCUUGAGCCACAGGAGGAAAUAAAGACAUAUCAAAACUAGCUUCUGAUUCAAUUAUCCUUUCAAUUCCGAUUGAUUCACCCUCUGAAAGAAGACCUAAGAUUUUCUCACUUACUCCCUAGUAUUCACUUCCCCAACCUUCCCUUGCCAUUUAGAAGAAUGAAGGCAAAGACUAUAAUGGAAAAAUGAUGAGAUACAGGAAUUUGCAGAUUAUUCUGGAUAGGUAUUUUCUUUGGUUAAUUAGGAAUUGCUAAAAUUUUUUCUUAGGAAAAAAAAUUCUUGAGUAUUAUUCCUCUUUUGUUCUCACAUUUUGUAUGUAAUUGUUAUCGAUUUUGGUCCUAACUGGUUUCACCCAUAAUACUGAUCUUUUUAUGCAGGAAUAAGGCUGUGAAUUUUCUUCUGCUUGGUGUACAGUAAGUAUAGACAGGAUUACUAGUGUUAACAGCCUGACACCACAGAAAGAUCAUAGAGUUAAGAAUCCUAAGAUCUGAAUUCAAAUCUGGAUUCUGGAUAUAGUAGCUGAGUGUACAAAGGGCUGGUUCUUGACAUCCCUGCUGCUGCUACUGCUAAGUCACUUCAGUCGUGUCUGACUCUGUGCGA
rnacentral:lncRNA from 1 species